GAGAGUUAAAUAGUACGUGAAAUUGUUGAAAGGGAAACGAUUGAAGUCAGUCAUGCUAGUGAAAAUUCAGUUUGGUGGGUUUUGGGUUCAGGAGUUGAGGCAGGGUCAAACCGUUUCUCUUUUGAACUUGGAAUUUGUCAGAUGCACUUUUUCUUUGGCAGGUCAGCGUCGAUUUCGGAGGUUGUAAAAUACUUGGGGAAAAGUAGCUCUGCUUCGGGAGAGUGUUAUAGACCUUGGGUGAUGCGGCCUGCGGGAUCGAGGAUUGCAGCAAAUGCUUUUGGCUUGUCGCCUGAUCUCUGGACGUCAUCUCGCUUGUAUCAACAUUCUUGGUACCGGUGAGUAAUGGUGCUCAUAGGUUAGAGCGAUCAAAAAUUUGCUAAGGAUGCUGACGUAAUGGCUUUAAACGA
rnacentral:rRNA from 1 species